rnacentral:tRNA from 1 species
GAAGCGUUUGCACCUCUGGCGAGGGCCACGGUCUUCAAAACCGUUGGGGGGUUUGAAAAAGGCUCCCUGUGGGUUCGAUUCCCAUACGCUUCC